rnacentral:tRNA from 1 species
GGAGAGAUGUCCGAGUGGCUGAAGGAGCACGCUUGGAAAGCGUGUUCAGGGUAACACCUGACGUGGGUUCGAAUCCCACUCUCUCCG